GUCGUAAAAGGGGACGCGGAGGAGAAGGAAAGUCGCUCAAGCAGUGGACAGAGCGGAGAAAGCGACUUCGGGUCUGCUGGAGUUUGCUGGAGGUGCACUCCAGACUCUGUUUGCCUGCCUAUCACCAACAGAGGCUGCAGAACAGCAAAGAUUGCUGUCUGUAACUUCCUCUGGAAGCUUCAUCCCAGAGGGGCACCUGCCAGAUGCCAGCCGGAGCUCUCCUCUAUGAGUUCAGCCUGAGAAAACUCCUGAGCAUGUGCGAAAAAGAAAAGAAGAAAAGAAAAGUAAAGAAAAGAAAAAAGGAAAAAGGGCAAGCUCCUGAGUGGAUCUCUCAGGGAGCCACCAGACAGUGAAUGAAGGAGGGAAGAAAGGAGAGACAGAGAAAAUAUGGAUUUCCUCAUGGUUGUGAUUCCUCUUCACUCUUUUGAAUUUGGAAGGAUGGCAUACACAUCUGAAAAAUACCACUACUUCCUUCAUUGGACUGCAAGGUAUUUCUGUUUGGAAAAGUAAUGGAGUCCAGUCAACUUCAUUGAUCGCCAAGGACUGUCAAAAUUAUAAAACUUGCUGUGGAGCUCUGACAUGCCAGAAGCCGCUAGAAAAAGAAGUUUGACAUUCAGAAACUUAUCAAGAGGUUCUACUCUUUGGAUAGAGACCAAAAUCAUACUUUGAAUGAUAUGCAAUGCAAGACUCCCAAGAUUCUGGGCAGUGGCAGGGAGGUGCAGCUUCUAGUCUGCCGCAUGAUCACAAUGUCAGCUGGUCCCUCUUCUCAGGUGUAGAUCACCUAUUAUAAUUUUACCUAAUUUUGAUACUCUGAUAAGGAAAGUCCCAGGACUUAUCAGCUGGGAUAGGCCUCACUUACAAGACAGCUCUGUUCAGUAUUUGGAAGAAAGCCUGACAGGUUUCUUCGGAAAAGUGGCCAUCCAUGGAAUGAAUGAAAUGUUCUCUUUCUAUUCCAGGGAUUGCAGUGGCAAAGCUAGGCUAGGUCUUGGAGGCUGGUGUAAGGCGAUGUGGGUGAAGGCAGGAGGCUGAUGGAAAGACUGGGGGGAAGAAAAGCCGAAAUGGAUUCACGGUGCCUUGGAUGAAGGACGAGAGGGGAACUGCAAGCUCCUUCAACUGGUUCUGUCCGGUGAGAAGUGAUCAAGCUUGGGCUGACAAGAGGCUCAGGGAGCCCUCACGUUCUUUCGCUUUUUUACCUGCCAAUCAAACUGCUACAAGACAACACCCUGAUCUGGCAUGGACAUAUCCAACUUAGAAAUAAUGUUUCAUUCAAGAUAAGGCUCGUGGCUUAGGAGAUUGUGACCUGGCUUGCAUCAUUCUAAGACUUCUAUCGUCUGUUUUCAAAACCCAAGGAGGACCUCCUUUUCUGUGUGAUAGUUCCUCAUGCUUUGCCAGCCACUGGGUCUUUAAGGAAGCUUGCCAAGAGUUCCCGGCUGGGAAGGACAGUUCGAGUUCAUCAUAGACAAUGAGCUGGCACCACAGUUUAAGUGACUCACCAACCUGGUUGCCCACUUCAAAAUGUCAAGAACCACACUAUCUAAUUGAAAGAACUGUGUUUUAGCAAAGUGUAAUUGGAUCGCCUGGCAAGAUCAUCUCAAACUAUGUCUCUGACCUUGCCUUUCAGUGGCUAUUUUGAGCACAAGAGGAGAAAGGAAAUGAUUCCUGAAUUAUAUCUUGUUUUUAAAAAUUAAGAUUAAUUAAUACUUGGUUUUAUGUUCAUUCCAUUGUAGGAACUUAGUGAUUAUUACAAAACAGUCAAAAUAGGUCAUAGCAAAAUGAACGUUUAAGAUUAGGUUAAAACAUUCCUCUGAAAUUUUAGUAUUCACUUUUGAAGUGUCAAUUACUAUAUUUCUGUAAUUUCUCAUUUUUUUCUUGGCUUAGAGUCAAGAUGAAAAAUGAUAUUUGAAUCAAAGACAUUGUUUUGUUAUAUAGCCACUCCUUUCUAAAAUGCAAAUCCACCCUCCCCUCACCAAUGCUUUAUUCUUUGUGCGCGCACACACACACACACACACACACACACACACACACACACACAGACAUACACAGAACCAGCACCCAAAUGGUAGAGGAGGUCCUUCCAAGACUUCUAGGACCUGGAUCAUGUAAGCAGUAGAUGAGAAAAUGAAGUAAGAGAUAUAGAGUAAUAACAAUAAAAGUCAAUGAUUUCAUUUUACAAAAAAGUCAUUGUGUAGUACUCAGAUAUUUUUAAGAGCAAGUAUUAUUAUGACUAAAGUAUAUUAUACUUCUAAAUUAUUAUGAUUCUCAUCUAAUUUCAAGCCACACAUAGGCGCCAUUUGAAAGCAUUUUGUGUUACAACCUAUCAACAAAAAUCAACUAAUAGUUUUAUAACGUGCAUAGGUUUACCCCAUGGGGAAUUAAAAUUUUUAUCUGCAAGUAUUUCUGUUGUUGUGAGACUUUAGGACAAGACAACAUUUGGUGUUAACAUAGAAGAAUAUUCUAUGGCUUUUUUAGCUUUAAAGUUCAUUACUCUAAAAUAAAGUACACGUGGUAUUUUUUUCUUCCUAGUGUUCUCUUAUUAUAUGUAGAGUAUUUUCGGUUGUUGUUUUUAACGUAUACAUUAUUUUUAUUAAGUCAUUUCAUAAAAGAUAAGAUAUAUACUAAUAGACCCUUGGUUUUCUCCUAAUUUAAUUAUUUCAAGUCAAGCAAAAUUGGGCAAUUUUCUUUCAGGAAAAAAAAAAUAUUGAGCAUGAUUUUGAGGUAAAACUGAUUAUUUACAGCAUCUUUUCUCUAAUAGGCUAACAUUUAUGAUGGAUCUUAUUUCAAAGUUGAUUAUUCUCAAAGAAAAGUGGAGAUAUUAGAAUUUCCGAGUAAAUUGCAUUGUUUUAAAAAGUACUUUAAUGCAUUGUUCACAUUGUUGCCAGCUAUUGACCAAAAAAGAGAAGAAGAAAAAAGAAAUAAAAAAAGCAGUAUCUGCUCCAAACGUCAAGUUUUGCAGUUUGAAAGACUUGUACAUUAUAAUUGUUUUUUUCUUUUUUGGAAAGCAGUAGUAAUUAAUACCAAAGGCAUAGACAAUUUAGGGCCAUAACCUCCCUUCCCCCCUCUCCACCUUUUUUUUUUUUUUUUUUUUUUUUUAACUUUAACCAUGAUAGGCAUCUCUGCAAGGUAGGUUUUAACAUAUUUUUUUCCUAAUUUUUUUCCCUCCAUUCAGUAAGAAGGAUAAGCUUUUAGAGUACCCAGUCACCGUGGUAACUGCCAAAAAAAUUCUCCUGAAGUUUGAAGAGGUCAGCUAGCAGGGUCAACAACCCUGGCCUCUCUCUGAGCUCGGUCUAGCAUGCCCCAGCCUGCGGUUGGAGUGUCAGGCCAGAUCUGACCCUGGGAGGUGGACCAUUCUGGCUCUGAUAUAAAUUUUUCGAGUCAGUUCAUGGCCUGGACUCUCCAGGUGGCCUCCAAAAUCGAUUUUGACCCCCUGACCCUGUCUCACGGAGGCAUAGCAUCCACCCUAAGUAAGGAUUUAGCCAGGAAUGACAGCUUUCCACUGAGUGUUAUUGGGGACAGUAUAAACAGUUUGGAAAGCAAGUAAGGAGGUGUGAGGGCUAGCAAUCAUUAAAAGCACAUUAAAAAACAAUUUUUAAAAAUCUUUAUUAGAGAAAGUUGUAAAUGCAUAUCUGUUACAGAAUUCCUGUGAUUUGUAGAGUUUUCUAGUCAGUUUUGAAUAUAAAUAGGUCACAUAUCUUUAUCUUUUUGCAUACUUUGUUACAAAUAUGCAAAUAAGAUAGGCAUACUUGCUACAAAAUAGGUACAGCAGGAAUGUAAUAUGUUCAGAAAAGGCAAACUGGUUAUUAAAACACAUUAACAGGUAAGGAGUUUCUAAUAUUUUAAAUACUAAAAUUUUACAUGUGUAUUUUGAAGUUUUUAAAAUGGAAAAAUAAAGAACCUUUAAAAAACCCAACAGUGUGGAAUAAAGAUAAACUUGUUGCACUCAAGGUACAUUUCUACUUUGUAAAGCAAGAAGCCAAUACACUCAGUUGGAUAAAAAUGAGAGAAAAAUUGUAAAUAUAGAGAGUUACAGCUUAUAGAGCUGAAGAGGAAUAAAACAAAAAAAAGUGUCUCUGAAUAACUUUAUGUAUUUUCAACAGUUUAAGAUAUCAGAAACUUGGAAAAUAAAUAUGAUAUAUAUAUAAAUCAUCA
rnacentral:lncRNA from 1 species